CGUGCCUAAUACAUGCAAGUCGAACGGUCUUUUCUAUGGAAGCUUGCUUCCACUGAGAAGAUAGUGGCGAACGGGUGAGUAACACGUGGGUAACCUGCCCAUAAGAGGGGGAUAACAUCCGGAAACGGGUGCUAAUACCGCAUAGUUUUCUUGAUCGCAUGAUUGAGAAAGGAAAGACGGCCUUUGUGCUGUCGCUUAUGGAUGGACCCGCGGCGUAUUAGUUAGUUGGUGAGGUAACGGCUCACCAAGACGAUGAUACGUAGCCGACCUGAGAGGGUGAUCGGCCACAUUGGGACUGAGACACGGCCCAAACUCCUACGGGAGGCAGCAGUAGGGAAUCUUCCGCAAUGGACGAAAGUCUGACGGAGCAACGCCGCGUGAGUGAAGAAGGUUUUCGGAUCGUAAAACUCUGUUGUCAGAGAAGAACAAGUUGGAGAGUAACUGCUCCAGCCUUGACGGUAUCUGACCAGAAAGCCACGGCUAACUACGUG
rnacentral:rRNA from 1 species